rnacentral:misc_RNA from 1 species
AGAGCACAAUCAUAAACAUACAACAGCUUUCAACACACCAGCAAACAACAGCCUAAGAGUUGAAAUGCGACGACUCAAUGUCAAUCUCUCUCUAGGCAGUGAUACCCCUGCGACACAAACCUGACAAGCCACUAACGACACCUCCGACACAAACACGAUGAUUAACUAUACAGACGCACACACACACUCUACAUAGAGACUUUAUGAUACCUGAAGCAGACCUACUACAAGUAGUCGUCUCCUCUAUAUAGCACGAACAGACAUGAUAAUAAGC